rnacentral:tRNA from 1 species
GGGCAGGUGGCCGAGCGGCCAAUGGCACCAGACUGUAAAUCUGGCGAGGUCUCCUCUACGGGGGUUCAAAUCCCUCCCUGCCCA